rnacentral:rRNA from 1 species
GAUGAACGCUGGCGGCGUGCCUAAUACAUGCAAGUCGAGCGAACGGACGAGAAGCUUGCUUUUCUGAUGUUAGCGGCGGACGGGUGAGUAACACGUGGAUAACCUACCUAUAAGACUGGGAUAACUUCGGGAAACCGGAGCUAAUACCGGAUAAUAUUUUGAACCGCAUUGUUCAAAAGUGAAAUACGGUCUUGCUGUCACUUAUAGAUGGAUCCGCGCUGCAUUAGCUAGUUGGUAGGGUAACGGCUUACCAAGGCAACGAUGCAUAGCCGACCUGAGAGCGUGGACGGCGACAUUGGGACAGAGAUGCGGCACAGACUCCGAGGGAGGGAAGCAGUCGAGAAUCAGGCACAAUGGUCUGAAGGCUGAUGCAGAAACGCCGGAGGCGGGAUAACGGCCUUCUGGUUGUAAACCGAUAUCGCCUGUGAAGAAGCGUGAGUGGCGGUACUGGGAAAAGAAGCAACAGCUAACUACGUG